GCUCGCUCGAUUUGUCGGGACUAACGGUGUUCUGCUAAGACCUGAACGACAUGACAGUACCCUCACAAGAAGCACCGGCCAACUCCGUGCCCACAGCCGCGGUAAUACCGAGGGUGCCAACGUUAGUCCGAAUUACUGGGCGUAAAGGGUGCGUAAGGGGUUUGAUAAAUUCUGUGUGAAAUACCCGGGCUUAACCUGGGGAAUGCAGAUGAGACUGUUGAGCUUGAGUGCGGGAGAGGGGAGUGGAAUUUCCGGUGUAGCAGUGAAAUGCGUAGAGAUCGGAAGGAACACCAGUGGCGAAGGCGACUCUCUGGACUGUGACUGACACUGAGGCACGAAAGCGUGGGGAGCAAACAGGAUUAGAUACCCUGGUAGUCCACGCCGUAAACGAUGUCAACUAGGUGUUGGCGAUAUGAAUACGGUUAGUAGCGUAGCUAACGCGCUAAGUUGACCGCCUGGGGAGUACGGUCACAAGAUUAAAACUCAAAUGAAUUGACGG
rnacentral:rRNA from 1 species